rnacentral:rRNA from 1 species
UACAGAGGGUGCGAGCGUUAAUCGGAGUUACUGGGCGUAAAGGGCGCGUAGGCGGUUAUAUAAGAUUGAUGUGAAAUCCCUGGGCUUAACCUAGGAACUGCAUCGAUGACUGUAUGGCUGGAGUACUGUAGAGGGUAGUGGAAUUUCCGGUGUAGCGGUGAAAUGCGUAGAGAUCGGAAGGAACACCAGUGGCGAAGGCGGCUUGCUGGACCUGGUCUGACGCUGAGGCGCGAAAGCGUGGGGAGCGAACAGG